rnacentral:rRNA from 1 species
CGGGUGAGUAACACGUGAGUGACCUGCCUUUUAGACUGGAACGACUUACCGAAAGGUGAGCUAAUGCCGGAUGAGUUAUAUAAGUGCAUGUUUAUAUAGGCAAAGUUGGGGAGACCUGACGCUGAAAGAUGGACUCGCGUCCCAUUAGCUAGUUGGUAGGGUAAUGGCCUACCAAGGCGACGAUGGGUAGCCGGCCUGAGAGGGUGGCCGGCCACACUGGGACUGAGACACGGCCCAGACUCCUACGGGAGGCAGCAG